AUGGGCACAUUGGGUGCUGUGCCAAAAGAUCUCAGCCGGCAUUUGGAAACAAUAGACAUUGACAAAAUUACGAUCUGCCAACUGCAAAAGGCCACCCUACUGGGAUCUGCAUGCAUCAUCCGAAAAUGUGAUGGUGAUAAUGAUGAAAAUGGUGUUAUGGUUGAGCCUUCUGGCUCCGAUACUAGGAGACGAGGUCGUAAGACUCCUCGAGAGUCAGACUCUUUUGAGGAGUGCGAAAGGAAACGGCUCCGAGACUUAUUUGCAGACCAACAGACGAAGACUCCUUUGAAGGGUUUACAGAGGGAAUGGAGGAAGAGAUGGUUAGCUCAGAGGAGGAUGAUAUGGAAUGGACUUGUGGGAGGGAGGAUUUGGGUGUCACAGGCAAUGAUAGCAUGGGAGGCGACUGGCGGGUUGCAGGACCAGACCCAUGGACGGGCUGGAGGGAUGGAGCGGGAUCCACAGCUGGGGAUGCUGGGGGCGUAGUCAAAGGUGUUUUAGCUCUGAUGAGGAUGAUGAUGAGGAGGCACCUGGAAUUAGGUUAGCAGCUGACAGCGAUGAGGAGUUAUGAACUGGCAUAAAAUGGGGUUUAGAACCAAUGGCUAAUUGCGUUGGGCAAGGUAAUCUGGACGAACGCUUGGGCUCUUGUUGGGGAAUUUCCUGAAGACGGGUGUGAUUCAUUGCUGGAUACGUAAGUUACCAAGGACACUGGGCAUAGACGGCGGGAGGAACUGUGUGGGCUUUUUCUGUGCAACUUGUGUUUAAUCUUGAUAGCUUGGACCUCUGUCGUCUUUUUGACGGACAUUACUGCCUACUCUGGAUUGACGUUGGACUGACUGACUGACUACGACUCUGGACUAUCCCUUCUGUGGCUAUCGGUGGAACUUGUGGAACCUUAGACGUCUGCACUUGGCUUUCGACCUCGGACCGGAUUGAGACCCUGCUGACCGCCGUUACCCUGAUUGAUGUGCCUGGACCUGGAUUUCGCUCAUUGCACGGAGGAGUAAACAGCCUGAGUUACUCAUCUGUAGCUCUUGAGUAGCAGAGGGGAAUCUGCUGCUAGGUUUUGUGUUCGUUUUGACCUUUUGUUUACCAGUAUUUGUUUGUUUAAUUGCCAGGCUGAAGUAAGUACUUUUGUUUUAACCCGGAUUAAACUUCUGUUUAAUCCGGUUUAUUCUUUUGAACUGUUUAAACUCAAACGAAGCUAUUUUUGUUACUUUUCACACUGAAGCCAAGUGUUUGCCUAGUCCUUUGUUUCUUACGGGCAAUUUUUAGUUCUGUAACCUCAAUAAACUGUGUUGUAUCCUAUUUGGUGGCGUUCUGUCUCUGACAAAUGGUGAACUGUUUCUAGUUACAGGAGGCCAGAAAUAUAUAUAUUUAAAAACAUGGUUCAGGGAUAUCCUUUUGUAUUGUGGAAUAUAUGCCCAAGUUUUGUGUGCAUAAAAUAAGAGAAGUAAUGGCAUGAAUGAGGACGGGUGCUCAGACUUAUUUUUAUUUUACCAGGAUUGAUCCAGAGCUCAUGUCAUCUUGGAAAGGGAACUAGGGAAUACAGCAUACUUUUAAAUUACAUCCUGGAAGCAAGCCACGUUGCCAAUAUACAUUGUGGCUUUUUCAACUGCUCUUUCCGCUCCCUCUAGGGUGUACUUUGACAGCACACAAUGGCACUAUUGCAGUCAGCAUUUUUGUCACUAUGACUUCAGUGACAUCUCAGAAGGCAUGAAUUCCUGGAGCCUUUGUAUGUGUGCGUGCUGCUAUAAAAUGUCUGCUAAACAAAUUGACUCCUCAAAUGUUCCUUUAUGAGGAGAAAGCACUAUAUGAAUUUAAUAAGACAGAAUAAAACGUUUAAACCUAACCAUGAAAUAGGAAUGUCAUGCUAUUAAACUCUUUAGGGUGGUUUAAUUGGUUAUCACCUGAUAUUUAAAUCUGUAGGAUUACAACAUUGUUUAUAUGGUGCCCUGUUGUGGUUUUACAUUUAUUGAGUUCAGUAACAACCGCCCAUUAAGGAUUUUGUUAUAAACUUUUAUGAAAUCAAAUUACACCUGGUUGCAUUGUCUCUCAUUGCUCAUUGACAAGCUGAAAGUAAGUUACUCAACAGUAGAACAAUAUAAUCUGAGCAAUUUUGGUUCAGCCAUGCAUUAGCUCACAUCAUUCCUUUCGAGACCAGAAUCAUUGAUAUGUUGCAUCUUUGGUGCCUCCACAGAAGGCUUACAUUCCAUGAAUCUUUUCCAAACAUCAUCUUGUACUUCAUACUGUGAAGACACAUUGACAUAUGCUUUCAAAAGGAAAUAACAUGCUUAUCUGCAAAGGUGGGUUAAUGUAAAAGGCAGCUAAACAAAUGUUUGCCACUUAAGAUUUUUAUGUGAAAAGAGCUGCAGAGGGAAGGAAAGAGAUAACAGGUUGGGGGAGAACGAAAAAAGAAUGGCAGAGAGAAGUCUCCUCCGGGCCAAGAUGCAGUCAUAGUUUAAAUAAACCUUAAAUAAACCUUGUCUAUUUGUCUUCCAUACAAAGAAUAUGGACUGGCCAGAGAAAUGUGCCAUCUUGUUGAUUCAAGGCCUUAUAUUUGAGCUUCUGUGAACAAAACUGGGAGAAAUUACUUUUUGGGACAACUUCCAGGAGAUAUCUUCCACUCUCCCAGCAAGGCAAUGGCCACUGAGAACUGUAAGUUUAUGUAUAUGCAGAGCAGAGGGGGUUUUUUUUGGGGAGGGGGAUACUUUUUAUACUACUGCACCCAGAAUCCAACAGCCAGCAUGGACAAUCUCAGAACCGAUUGGGGAAAUCUGGGACACAUAGUCCCAAAAAUGUCUUUCGAGGCUCUGACCAUGAAUUUCUUAAAUUACAAUUAGAAUAUUGUAAUGCUGCUGAAUUUAAAAGAGUAUCUUUAGAAUUUCAUCUCAGAAAACUGAGCCUUUUAGCUGCCUGAGUUGCAAAAUGUCAUAUAAAAACAAAGAACGACUCCCCUCCCCACCUUCUCUCUCUUGGGAUCUGAAUCUUUUCAUUUCCCUUCUUGAGCCUUCUUUUCAUUUCAUCACCAUCUUAUUAAACAUUCAAGGCAGGCAUCAUUUCCAUCCAUUGAACCAAUCCUUCCACGUGGGAGCUUAAUAAAAAUCUCAGAGCCAUUCCUUUUUUAAAAAAAAUAUAUUAUUAUAUAGCCAUUCCUUAAUGGUUAUCGGAUUCAUGCGUCUCUGGGCUUUGCUUUUUAUUUUCAAGUUAAAAUUCUGCAUUCAGCUUGGCUUCUGUGUUCUGUGCUGUUUGGCAGUUUUAUGUCUUGACUGAGCUUCAUAUUGACAGUGUCUUGGGUUGCUGGACUAUGUUUAUCCUGGCUGUUAAUCAAACCUUUCCUCUCUGCCCCCUCCUAUGAUUUCAGGGAGGGAAAGGGUGGGAGUAGUUGUGAAUCCAUCCAAUUAAACGGUGUGUCUCUGUUCACCAUCAUGGGCAAGUGCCUGUGCUUUGUAAGUACAAAUUAUAUAAUGGCAUGUUACAUUUCAAAGUGUAUUUGAGUUUGGAGCACAAUUAAACCAAUAAGCAAUACAAAUUCUAGGAUUCCAGAAACUAUUUCAAAGGCUUCAACGAAACCAAUUAGCUUGUUUCCUUCUUUCUUUGUAUAUGUGUGUGUGUAUAAACACACACACACACACAUACAUAGACACACUCUCUCUUUAUACAUGCUCACAUACAUAUAUACACACUAUCACCUAUUGCUUAAUGUAAUACGUGUGUGUGUGUUUCUGUGUAAGAUUUAGGUCUCUGUGUAGUGUUCUGGUUUUAGUACUGGACUAGGAGAUUCCCAUUUCAUUUGGAAACCCAAUGGCCGACCUUUGGCGAGUUACAUACUCUCAGCUCUUUACAUAGGGGUUGCCUUAAAUUGAAAACAAGUUGAAGGUUCACCACCACCACAAGCCCUUAUAAAACUAUUUGGAUGCCAUUGGAUUGCAAGCUCUGCUAUCAUUAUCUGGCAUAGGCAAUGGUGAGGAAUGCUGGGAGUUGCAGUCCAACAUUUGAAGGGUUAUGCAAGCCCCAGCCCUGCAAUAGAAAAUAUUCUGUGAAUAUCUUCUCUGGCCCCUUCCACACAGCUGAAUUAAAUACCACAUUUUCUGCUUUGAACUAGAAUAUAUGGCAGUGUGGACUCAAACAACCCAGUUCAUAGCAGAUAAUGUGGGGUUUUCUGCCUUGAUAUUUUGAGUGAUAUGGCUGUGUGGAAGGGCGCUCAGAUGAAGGCCUGGGCAUUUCCGUUCUGAAAAAAUUCUACCAAGAAAGCUCCAUGAUAGGUUUGUUUUAGGAUUGCCAUAAGUCAGAAGGGACUUUAAGGCACACAAAUGCAAUAUAUAAAGAUAUAAAUAUGUGCACAACACAAAACACAGUUCUGCCAGAUGAAUUUUCUGAUUCAUAUUUGACGGGACGUAUCCUAUGGUAAGCUGCAAUUU
ensembl:lncRNA